rnacentral:rRNA from 1 species
AACGAACGCUGGCGGCAUGCCUAACACAUGCAAGUCGAACGAGACCUUCGGGUCUAGUGGCGCACGGGUGCGUAACACGUGGGAAUUUGCCUCGGGGUAUGGAAUAACUCAGGGAAACUUGAGCUAAUACCAUAUAAUGUCUUCGGACCAAAGAUUUAUCGCCCUGAGAUAAGCCCGCGUAGGAUUAGCUAGUUGGUGGGGUAAAGGCUCACCAAGGCGACGAUCCUUAGCUGGUCUGAGAGGAUGAUCAGCCACACUGGGACUGAGACACGGCCCAGACUCCUACGGGAGGCAGCAGUGAGGAAUAUUGGACAAUGGGCGCAAGCCUGAUCCAGCCAUGCCGCGUGCAGGAUGACGGUCCUAUGGAUUGUAAACUGCUUUUGUACAGGAAGAAACACUGGUUCGUGAACCAGCUUGACGGUACUGUAAGAAUAAGGAUCGGCUAACUCCGUGCCAGCAGCCGCGGUAAAGUGACUACUG